ACGCUCGACACCUACGGGAGGCAGCAGUGGGGAAUAUUGCACAAUGGGGGGAACCCUGAUGCAGCGACGCCGCGUGAGUGAAGAAGUACUUCGGUAUGUAAAGCUCUAUCAGCAGGGAAGAAAAUGACGGUACCUGACUAAGAAGCCCCGGCUAACUACGUGCCAGGAGCCGCGGUAAUCUGAGCGGGCUGGCAAGGC
rnacentral:rRNA from 1 species